CAGGCAUUGAAAAUACAUUAUUCCUCAUUCUUUAAUAGUUAUUAAGCAAAGUGUGGGGCUAGCCAUUAUGACGGGAGUGAUAAUUCACCCUUGUAUCUCACCCAAGAGACUUUGCUAUCUCCUUUGCUAUCGAGCAAAGGAGAAAAGACUCUCAAAUACAUACUAUGUAGAUAAGCAACUAUGAUAAAUGGCAUUCAGUGCAGAAGGAAAUUUCUGGAUCAAGUGUUUUCGUCUUUCAGAGUCAAGACACUUUACUUUGGGCUGUGAAAUCAGAAGUUUCUCACCAGCCAUUCUAUUUGGUCUCAGAUCUGACCUCUGUCCUUCUUCUGCUUUGCUGUGCACUGCAAGGAGCUAACUCCUGCAAGCUCCUUUUCCCUGGCUAUGCUGCCAGCUGGUUCCAGCUCAAGUGCACCAGUGGGAGGCCCCAGAGAAGGCUCGUGUAACUGGAGGAAGGAAGGAGCCAGGGUAUUUCUCCUCACUUUCUGAGGCUAUACAAUGAAAAAACCAACAGAGUAUUUUCACAGGGUUUCUAUGAGAAUUAAAUGAGAUAAGGCAUGAAAAUGCUUAUACCUUGUGUAUAAAAUAAACACUCGAGGGAUAGAGCUGUUGCUGCUUUUAGCCUUGCUUCGAUGAGUGGGAAAGAGCACAGUGAUCAAUUAGUGACGUCUGCCGAGAGUGAAGACUUGGGCAGUCAUGCUAUGUCAGCGGAGUAUUUACCAACCCUGAUAUCUCGGAGCUGCAUUGCGGAGACAGAACUGAGAGGAGCCGACAGAUGGAUUGACAGACUGAUUUUAGGGAAUUCAUACCAAGUGAAGGAGCCAGCAGUGUGCACAUAUACAGUCGGAUGACUCACUCCACAUAUCUUCUAGUUCACCUUCCUCUGCUGCAGUGACUGGAUGAAUAGAACCCCUUGUGGCGAGAGAUCAAGUAUGUGGUUUAUGUUCUUCUAAUUGGAUGUGCUGGUACAAGCGGAGGCAGAAGUGAUCAAUGUGAGGUGGUAGUGGUACGUAGGAGGAUAGAAUCUUCUGACUAGGAGAGUGGUAGAGCUGUCUGGUAAUUCUGAGGUGGUAGCAGCCACGCUUACAUCCUCAGGUCUACACUGGCUACUCAGUGCUAAGGAGCAGAAGCUACUACCAUGCCUCUCUCAAGCAGCUGGCAUGGCCAAGCUCUUUCCCGGCUAUUAAAUUUAAGUAGGUAGCAUUCCUGAUGGCUCAGGUGGUAAAGAAUCUGCCUGCAAUGUGGGAGACCUGGGUUAGAUCCUUGGAGGAGGGCAUGGUAACCCACUCCAGUGUUCUUGCCUGGAGAAUCCCAUGGACAGAGGAACCUGAUGAGCUACAGUCUAUGGGGUCGCAAAGUCAGACAUGACUGAGCAACUAAGCACAGCACAGCACAGGUAGCAUUCAGACCUGGUUUUCCAUCCCUCCCCCAAAUUCUGUGAGCCACCGAAUAUCCUUUAACAAAUCACUUUCUGCUUCAACUUGCCAGAAUGGGUUUUGUUGUUUGCAUGUAGAAAACUUUACAAGAAGGCAUGUUCUAGGUCGUAUGGAAACAGAGGCAAAGAGGUCUUUUCCUUCCUGAAAUGAAAGAAAUGAUUUCACAGAAUGAAUGCCAAUUGAACAGAGACUUUUAGAGUGUGUUGAAAUUUAUUGAAUGGACAAAGAUAGAAGGAGAUUUCAGAUAAAAUCACAAAAGUGAGUGAGCUCAUAUACAUUCAUUCAUUUAUUUAAUGUUCAUGAGUAUAUACUAUGUUCUAGGUACUGGGCUAGAUUCUUUGCAUACAGCAGUGAGAAAUAUAACUAUGAUUCCUGCCCACAGAAUGUUUAUGCAUUUCCAAAUUGUACAUGUAGAUUAUGUUACCCUGAAACAACGUAAAUGUGGAGGUUACAAUAAAGAAAUUGUGUGACCCUUUUCCCAUUAAGUACUUGCCUCUUGGGAGGUAAAGAAGAAUAUAAUUUCUUACCUGUGUUCCUAUAAAUAGUGGUGAGAUAAUUGUCAGAAUAGUGGGCUAAUUUGGUUUUAUUCAAGUGAUUAUCCUUUUCUGAAGGAUCAUCUUGCCUAUCUUCCUUUAUCAGUGUCUUAACUGAUGUGUUUUGGUGCUGCAGAAAAUCAGGGUUAGAGGAAGAGAGAAAUUGAACAGAGGGAUAAAAACAUACCUAUGCCAAGGCUUAUUAUUCUAUGUCAGCUUUCAUGGUGAAAACUAUCCAACUAUGAAGCCUCAGGACCGCUCUAGAGGCCCACCAUCAUUUCAGACUCUUGGCUUUGUUUCUUGGACUCCAAAUGACCAAGACCACUCAUAGCAUGAAAAGCCCCAAGGGACAACAGCUGAUGAUUGGGGCUGAUGCUCCUAGAUCCAGGGAAAUUUGCAGUCAAUUUGCAGUCACCUCUAUGUACCGAAGAUCCCCUUUACUUAGAUGGCUCCAUGGCUUGGCUGGGUUUUCAAUUCAUUAAUGACUAGAAAGGUAGUAUCCUUUCCUGUUUCACAAUGACUUAUUGUCUAUAACACCAUCCCUACUUUUCUUUGGCUUUCUCUCUUCUCUCUUCUGGAAAUUGGCACAGUUCAUUAAUUAAAUCAUGAGAAAUGGUAGGGAUCCAAUUUGCCGUUGGCAGUCCAAGAGGCAAAUUCCAGAUUCCGGUAGUCAGUUGCAGAAUCAAAUUUUCAGAGAUUUCAUUGCUAGGACAUUUUGUGAAACCAAUUUACCAUAACAAUAAUAGUUAACAUUUAUAGAUGCUUUUUGAGUGCCAAUAGCUAUGAUAAGCAUUUGUAUUCAUUUACACCUUUAAUCGUAACAAUAUCACCAUGGCAUAAGUAUUCUCAAUGUCGCCAUUUUAAGAUGAUGAGGUUGGGAGUAGUUAAGUUUAAAUCGAGUCAGUUAAUAAGUGGCAGAGUCAAGGUGAGACCCCAGAGUAGUGAAAUCUAAGGCCUGAGCUCUGAUCCACUCUGCUGUAUUGUACCCUGUGGUGAGUUGGCAUUUUUAUUCUGAUUAUUUUUCUCUAUUGGACAUCCUUCAUCAUCCCUGAAAUAAGAGUUUGAACCAAAUUAAGAUUUACUUAAGCCAAAGUUUUUAUCAAGUUAUGAAUUGACCUUAAAAUUAGUUUCAUGUGUAGGCAUAGCUUAACCAUGAAGCACUGGACAUUCUCUCUCUGACUGGUCCAACAGGCAUAAAUUGCAAAUUUUAUGGCUCUAAAAUAGUUUGAGUUUUAACUCAAUAAAUGAAAGAAAAAUCAGUGACACAUUCUUGAAAUUUAAAUUGUAAGUGUAUCCUCUCUAAGUUACCAUCCAGUUACAGGGUGAUUUUUACAAUGUUCACAGAAACUCAUUGGUGUUGCUACUAUUUUAACACAUAAAUUUAUUUCCAAGAUGUUUAAGUGGCAUAUUGCAGAAAGUCAGCUGGAUUUUGAUUCUUAAAAAUCUGGCAAUGAUGGAAAUGCUUUUUGAAUUUAAGUGAGAACAUCCUCCCUGCUAAAACAGCACUCUGAUUAGAUUCAUUUCUAGAACUGCAUUACUCACACAUGGAAAUGGUAUAAAUUUGUUACUAAACCGUCUACAGAUGGUAGGGUUUAUUUUCCCCCAGUAAACACCAGAGGCUGUGAUCGUGCACUUUAGAACAAAUGGGCUCAUUUCUGCAGCCUCUUCAUAUUUUGCAUAGCAAUGUCCUGCUCAUUGAACUGGGUCCGUAGUUCUUGCAAACAAAGGCUGUUUAACAUUAGUGAUUGCAUCUUGAAAACAGAGAACUUGUUUUGUUAUAAAAGAUGAUUGCUCUUCUAUCCUGUCCUAUUCAGCAAGAUAAGGACUGCCAUAACUCCAUGAAGAAUAGAGAAACUACUGAAAUGACAGAAUCUUAAGAAUUGAAAAGUGCAGUAAGUGUCCCCCAGGGGACACCUCUGCAGUCUCUGAGAGAUGCUUAUUUCCACUGCUCUGGCUGAAUAACUUCUACAGAUAAGAGCCUUACCACCCUGCUGAGAUGACCGAUAAGAGUUUGUUGAGUGUGCCAGUCUCCGCGCUGGGUACUGGGGAGUAGGAGGCAGACAAUAUACCCAUUGCUGUCCUCCUGGUCUCUGCCCUCAUGGAGUCAGUGGUCUAGUGGGGAAAAGGCAAGUAAGCAAGCAGUUAUGGUUCAUAUAGGCUGUUUGGGUCGCCUCCUAUGCACCAUAUUGUUGAGGAGGGAUUCCCAGCCUAGGGUUAUGGGGAUGGCUGAGUAUAUGACCCUCAGCACUGGGCAGCUGAGACUAAUAGCAGUUUAGCAACCACAUAUCCUCAUGGCGGGGUGGCUGGGGAUUGGGGAGGAUACCACGUACCAUACAAAGAUGGCUCUCAGGAGCCGAAUGGAAACGUCAGUGGAAGCUGUGUGAGAGGCAGGCUUGUAGUAUCAAGAGGGUGAAGAGGCCCCUGGUUCCUGCAGGAGGAUGUGACUGGCAGGAAACUGAAACCCACUGCUCAAGGAUAAGCAGGAACUGCACCUGGGGUGGGGGUGGGGGUUGAUAAAGAGGGCUGUUUGAUUAGGGAGGUUAUCUAUCCACGGGAGCAGAGUGGGGAAGGGACUUUGCCAUUAUGCCAUUUGAGGCCUCCCUGAUUUCAUCAGAUGUUGAGGCAGCAGGUAAUAAUACUGAGUGUCAAAUUUAGUUCUUACACCAUAGGGGAUUCUAUGGAGGGACAAUUAAAACAUGAUUUGGGGAUGGGGCCUAGGCAGAGGAGAUCGGGGCUGACAUUCCUAAGAAAGACAACAUUUAAACAGAGACCCAAAGAAUGAAUUGGAAUUAGACAUUCCCAAAGAUGGGUUUUCAACUACAGAGCAGAGAGGUGAGAGAGAGCCCAGAUUGUGCAUAUGAGGGGGUGAGGUGGGGAGAGGCCGACUGAGAGAAGUUAACCCCACAGAUUCUCCCCGCAGGCAUGUAGGCAGGAAAGAAGAGAGAGAUGGAAGGGGAGCCUCAUCAGGGCCCAGUCAUGUAGAGCCUACCUGUCCACAGCAUCAGACAGGUGACCUCUGUGAGCUGGAGGAAAGGCAUAUAGCAGGCAUGGCACAGACUGGGAGGACUUGGAGACAAAGUCCCAAUCCACACGGGAGGCCCUUUCCAUGUGGGGACCUGUGCCCAGCAUUACCAGAUACCCCGAUUUUUCCAGAGAAGCCAUACGUUGGGAUUUGUAGACAAAGCUUUCAAAUUUACAGACAUUGGCUCUACUGGAAAUUUAUUAAAAAGAAAAAAAAAAGCACUGUGCGAGCCAAGCAAAACCUAUCAUCCCACAGGCUUCUGGUGUGUAAUCUCUAAGAAAAAAACUUGAAAGCCACGAGAAAGAGUUGAGGGUCCACCAUAAAGCCAUGGGAGAUUUAGGAGCAAUGGGGAUCUACUGCAUAGCUUCGUAAUGGGCCAGGGCAGGAUCACAUCUGCAUGUGAGGAUUGCAGCCAUUGAAGACCAGGUGGGACGCUAAGAUUCAGUGUCUCUGUCUGACCUGGGGAAGCGACUGUAAAGAUGGAGGAAAGCUAUUUUCAUUCCAGAAUCAUGUAGGAGGUAGAAGCAAUAGGACAUGGAUGUCUUGGGGAGGGUGGGGGAGAGGAGUCAGAUCUUUGACUUAUCACAGUAUCAGGCAGUCUGUUAGAAAUCUCCUUCUUGCAACUUCUAUAUGUUGAAGGCCAUCAGGACUCAUCCUGAGUCUUUUCCUCAUUAUUCCAUAUGUAGGGGCUGAGGUGGGUAGUAAUUGAUAGUGUGAAAAGUGCAAAGUUCUUUCAGCCUAGAACUUAGAAACCAGAAUGAAUAUGAUUGGUGGGGAGCAAUAAAUUUACUUGCUGAGCCAUAGGCUAAGAUUUAAUCGAAUUUUCAUGUUCUGAGUUUUCAUAAAGUGAUGCAGGAGCCAAGCUACCCCUCAGAGGCAUGCUGGGUGCCCUGGGGAUUCCAGACAGUGAUUAGAAACAUGCAAGGCAGGUAAUUCACUUGGAUGGUUAUUCAAAUUUCUUAUCAGAAGUUUAUAUCAAGCUGAGUGAGGGGGGUAGGUUCUCUGCCUGAGACUGAACAUGACUAAUUUAGCCAUUUCUCCACAUUCCAGAGAGAUGAGAAUUUAACACAGUCCCUCGCUCUUGAUAAAUUCCCUUGGUAUAAUUUAGAUUUUGCCCUCAGAUACAAAUGUGUAAGUUGUUUUAGCCUCCCAAGUAUAGACAAGUAAGGGAGUCAGCAUCCUGAUUGUGUAAAGGAGGCAAAUGCCUUAAAUGUACCUCUAUACUCCCAAACUGUGAACAACAAAAACUAGUUUAGCAGACACAAACAGUAGGCCUAUGCAAAGAAGAUUCUUGGAGGUUUUCUAGAAAAGCUGGAUCCCAGGUAUGUAUGGAAGAUGAGAAAGGGUGAAGGAUAGUCCAGAGCACGCAGGAGAUCCUCAGCUUGUCCCAGGUCUAGCAGGAAGAUCAAACAUAUGUCAGUGGGAGCUCUUUCAUCCUCCAAAUGAAAUGGAAUAAACCCUGGAUGCUGAUUAUUUUUUGGUCUUUCUUAUUCUAUUGUGUUGCUUUUUCUUAACAAAACAAGUUUAUUGUAGAAGAUUAGAAAAUAGUUCAUUGUGAAAAAAUUACAAAAGUAGAUACAUAGAAAGAAAAAGAGAGAAGGAAGGAAGGAAAGGAAGGAAGAAGGAAGGAAAGGACUUGAAACACUGGAGAGAGGAGAGCUCUAAUAAUUCCAACACCCAGAGGUAACCUCAGUGAACAUUGGAUGUAUAUCUUUUCAGUGUUUUUUUCAGUGGGUCCAUGUAUUAUUAAUUUUUUUCCAAGAGUGGAGUUCUGCUCUUAAUAGGGUAUAAGAAUAACAGUCAACCUGCUUAGGUAAUUUGAUUUAUAUUAUAAACUUGCAUUCUCUUGGGGGAGCAGGAAUGGAAAUAUAAUCUCAGUUCAAAAAUGUCCUCACUUGCUCCAGUGCUCAGUUGCCAGUCCACGCAGGGCACUGUUGAGUCCUUUCUUACUCAAACUGCUGAUCCUCCAGACCCCCAUCCUUUUAACUAUGUUUGUUUCCCUCUUGAGUCACACUCAGCUGCAAGAAACUUAGUGAGCUUGUCCGAGGGGCCCUAUUAAUUGCAUGUCACUCUCAGCUCUCAGACACAGAGGGCAAUUCACCAGGGCCCAGGACAUGCUCCCUGUUUAUGUAAAGCCUUCCUGCACACACACACAUCUCUGGGACAUUUCUUCCUCUGGCUUUCUACCACCUGCCCAGCCUGUGCCUGAGAAGAAAAUGUAGGUUCCUCUUCCCAGAGUUCUGCAAAUGCCCAAGGAAUUGUGAUUUCCCCGCUUAGCUGACACCUCCACCCCGCAUUAGAAGAACAUUCAGAAGAUUUCCUCCUUCUCAUGGGAUCUUCCAAAUCUGUUAUUCAUGCUCUGAAUUUUUAUUGUCACUAUUGUUCCUUUUAAGGACUUUCAAAAGAAAAAGUCAGGAGACGGUCCUAUUUUCUCUCAUCUGCUGUUCAAUACCCAUCACUCUGGCAAAAACUUCAAAUGGCCUCAUCUGAGGCAUUAAAGUGUUAGUCACUCAGUCAUGUCUGACUCUUUGUGACCCAUGGACUAUAGCCCAUCAGGCUCCUCUGUCCGUGGAAUUCUGCAGGCAAGAAUACUGGAGUGAGUUACCAUUUCAUUUGAAGAGUAGAAGGGAUGAAAUAUCAGGAAAGUGGAAGGAAUGCCAGAUAAAAUUUUAAAGCGAGGUCACUCCACUGUGCUUACAGGAACUUAGGUUCCAAUUCCUCCAAGCAGGCUGGGAGGUGGCAACCUGGAGGAGAGCUUUCUAAGAGGAGGUGUGGGGGAGAGGGGCAGUCCCUUGGCUAUUCUUUCUACCUGUGGUCCAUGCUCUUGCCCUUCUGGAUGCAAACUCACAGGGUACUUCCUUGGUUCUGGUCCUUGGCCCCUGGAGCCCAGAGCAAAGGUAUCCACCCAGGAAGAGCUGAGUUUUCUUACCUCACCUCUCACCUGUACUAUAUGGGGGUGGGGCGGGGGUGAGCCCUUGAAGGAAUAUAAUCUCCUGGAGAGAAAUGUACUUUCCAACACUAAUGUAAAUAUGAUUCAUGCAAUUUCCGCAGCUAGGCUCCUUUAUGUCCCUAAUUCGGAAACACGGGCCGGAGGUUCUUACUUAUCCUCCAUCCCAGAAGGAGACCCUGAGCUGGGCUUGGUCCUGCUCCAGCAUCUGAAGUAGAAACCACAGCCUUGAGAUGGUGCCAAGGCAGCCAAUUAAGAAGGUGUUGAUGACACUUCCCAGGAACAUUUUUCUAGAUGUUUAACUUUGACCAAAAGUUUAAGCUUCUAGUAAACCCCAGGAACCUCACAUUUUCCAGGGAAUAGUGCCUGGACUAUUAAAAACUUCCAAGAAACUCCGAUUCUCAGAAGGCUUUGCAGCCUUCAAACUCAUCCACCCAUUCAACCUUUCUGGACAAAAACAAAGGCGAUGAAAUGGUGCUUUCUCUCAUUCCUGGAGAGUUUAGAUGACUAAAGUCAUAUAAGAAGCCUGGUGCCGAUUAAGCCACCACAUAGGCUUUGGGAAGUGAGGUCUGGCCUCACUGGCCCUGGCCUCAGCCACUGGGUAGCACAGGAUUGGCAGUGACAGCAGCAGCAGGAUCUGUCAGCCCAAGAGCCUGGGGCUGGUGCUGGCCAGGCUCAGUGUCCUUGCUUCAUUCUGUCUUAUUCAAAAUGACCACAGGCUAGCUCUUGAUAUCUGAACGUAUAUGACCAUCAACCCAGCAAUCUUAUUGGACCCCAGCAAGUGGACUUCCAUCCCUUCCAUUUCCGUCUUACAGAUGAGAAAAGUCUCAGAGGAGCCAAGGGAUUCAUAAACCAGCAGACUUGAGCCUGGGUUCUGACCCACAUUUGGAUUUCUCAAGAGUAGGUGGGAACAAGAGAAGAUCUCACAACGUCAAUCUCCCCAGACCCUGGGGUGAUCUGGAAAGUGCAAGAGGAGGGGCCAAGUUGAGUAGGAGCCUGGGGGAAAGGGGCAUUGAGGGUCCUGGGAUAGCAAUUUUUUUUAAUCAAGUUGUGUAAAAGUAAUUGAAUAAUUUUACAACUGGUACAGCAAACCUGGUAUGUAACAGCAAAUAUGAACCCUGAUCAUAAACACUUUAACUGAGAUACCCAGUGGUUGGAUAAAAGUGGGAGGGAUCCACUCUCUGGGUACGGAGUGGAAGGACUCACAAGAUGGUCCAUUAGACCAUCAGAACGUGAGGAAGGGAAGGGCAUCUCAAGGCAUUUCAGGGAGGCUGGAGGGCAACAAGCAGCAGGAUCUGCAGACUGUUGUGGGGCCCAGGGUUGGGGCACCAGGGAGAACACUUAUAAGACCUGAAACUGGAGGAACACACAAAGACUUGGUCCGUGAUAUCUUGACUGGGGAAUUUUGAUAAAACAUUCCUUUGUUUUGGACAGGUGGACAUUUGUGGGUUGUUUCUUGACUCUAAAGCACAAAUUAUUAAACUUUGAAAAAAGAUUUUUUUUAACUUAAUAUUCUUUAAAACAGAUACCUUCAUUCCAUCGUGUUCUCCACUGCAUCUUUGGUGCCUCCUAUGCUGCUAUGCAUAGGGUCCCUGCUCACCAGUCCUCACUGAUGCUGUCUCACUCUGUCAUCUCACCUCCCAACAAUCUUGCUGGAACUGGAUCCCCUUUUGAAACCUCAGACUGCUUAGCCUACUUUCAAAGAGCAAACUAUGGUGUAGCAAUAUUAAAAACUUUAAAAGACUCAAAACAACACUAAAAAUGUCAGCAAUCACUAAAUACAAUUCUCCAGCAAGGCAGUGUCUCUCCGUGACUGUAAAAUCACCCACAGUUAUGGUUCAAUCUCUGGCUACAUUUCACUACUUUAUGGUUCUUUGAGUGGAGCUGUUUACUGCCAUGACCUGCUUCUCUUGUGGACCACAGAGUCGAAACUUUCACAUGUUCUGGAAGCUCCACAACCUUUCAUUUGCCUGGGCUUGUUGACAUUGCGCCCAUGCCCCACAGAGCCUAUUUGUUCCAAGACUCACUACCCACGUUAUCUCAAGGUUUCAUCUGACACACAAACUAAAAUAAGGACUCAGAUAUAACCCAGAUGGUUUUCCACAUUGAACAAAGGUUAAAAAUUGAGAAUGAUGGCUCUGUGGGCCACAACAGCUAUGAAGUUCUAUAUUUUCAUGAAUUAAAAAAAAAGUAACAUUUUGAGAAAAGAACUAUAUAUUUGAGGUAGAGUACUUAAUUAAAGCACCAAGUCCAAAUCAAUUGAAGAAAGAAAUCCUCAUGGAUGAAAAAGUGAGCUCAGAGAGCCCAGAGUGGCCCGAGGAGCUUGUCGAGUUUGAGCGGCAUUAGCAGAAAAAUGGGGCUUCCCUGGUGGCUCAGACAGUAAAGAAUCUGCCUGUAGUGCAGGAGACUGGGGUUCAGUCCUUGGAUCAGGAAGAUCCCCUGCAGAAGGGAAUGGCUACCCACUCCAGUAUUCUUGCCUGGAAAAAUCUCAUGGACAGAGGAGCAUGGUAGGUUCAUGGGGUUGCAAAGAGUCAGACGCAACUGAGCAACUAAGCAUACAUAUGCCCAGAAGAAAGAAGAGCAGAAUGGAUCACAGAGAAUGUGAGUGGCCAGAUGGCGAAUCUCAGUUCCUCUCCAUUUCUCAAAGGUAUAUUUUUUAAGAAGCUGGCAUUUAGAGUUUUUGGUAAAAGGAAGCAGUUAUUUUUAGGUUCUGUUAAAAGAUAAACUGAGGCAUAUUAGACAUUUUGAAAGUUUGAGAGAGUUUAUUUGAGCAAGUAUCAAAUCAGGCAGCAUCCAACCCAGCAGAUGUGAUCCUGGGUCCUGGGAACACAGGUGUGUGGGGAGUCCCGGCGGGUCUCAUCCUGGUCACUAGAACUAUACGGUCCUCCUUUCAGGGAGGAAAACACAUUUUCCCUCUACCUUUUAGGGUGAACGCUUGGCUAAGACUCGCUUUUCUCUAAGGCAUCUCGUAAAUGGAUAGGCUUACCCAGGUAAAAGUUCUCAGCUGUGCCCACUGUAAUUAAAGAUUUUCGUAAGGUUUCCUAAGGUAAGGUUAACCUGCUCAUUUAGUGUUAAAACAAAAUUGUGUUCACCUGAUUUGGAAGGACUGAUGCUAAAGCUGAAACUCCAGUACUUUGGCCACCUCAUGCCAAGUGUUGACUCAUUGGAAAAGACUCUGAUGCUGGGAGGGACUGGGGGCAGGAGGAGAAGGGGA